CAGCACAAGCUAGAAUGUGGGCAACUCGGCAGUCGUUGCGCAGGCACUUUGGUGAGUCUAGAUAACCUCGGGCCGAUCGCACGUCCCCGUAACGGCAACAACGCAUUCGGAUGACUGCCCUAUCAACUUUCGAUGUUACUUGCUGCGCCUACCAUGGUGACCACGGGUAACGGGGAAUCAGGGUUCGAUUACGGAAGGGAGUCUGAGAAACGGCUACCACAUCCAAGGAAGGCAGCAGGCGCGCAAAUUACCCACUCCCGACGCGGGGAGGUAGUGA
rnacentral:rRNA from 1 species